GAUGUCGACAGAGUUUGAUCCUGGCUCAGGAUGAACGCUAGCGGCAGGCUUAACACAUGCAAGUCGAGGGGUAUAGAGAGCUUGCUUUCUAGAGACCGGCGCACGGGUGCGUAACGCGUAUGCAAUCUACCUUUCACAAAGGGAUAGCCCAGAGAAAUUUGGAUUAAUACCUUAUAGUAUUAUAGAAUGGCAUCAUUUUNUAAUUAAAGAUUUAUCGGUGAAAGAUGAGCAUGCGUCCCAUUAGUUAGUUGGUAAGGUAACGGCUUACCAAGACUACGAUGGGUAGGGGUCCUGAGAGGGAGAUCCCCCACACUGGUACUGAGACACGGACCAGACUCCUACGGGAGGCAGCAGUGAGGAAUAUUGGACAAUGGGCGCAAGCCUGAUCCAGCCAUGCCGCGUGCAGGAUGACGGUCCUAUGGAUUGUAAACUGCUUUUAUACAGGAAGAAACACCUCUACGUGUAGAGACUUGACGGUACUGUAAGAAUAAGGAUCGGCUAACUCCGUGCCAGCAGCCGCGGUAAUACCGAGGAUCCAAGCGUUAUCCGGAAUCAUUGGGUUUAAAGGGU
rnacentral:rRNA from 1 species